UUUGGUGACCACAGGCGAGGUGCCCCACCCGUUCCCAUUCCGAACACGGCCGUGAAACCCUUAGCCGCCGAUGGUAGUUGGACGUCAUGUCCCGCGAGAGUAGGUUAUUGCCAGAU
rfam:Verrucomicrobiae bacterium DG1235 scf_1104243000192 genomic scaffold, whole genome shotgun sequence.